rnacentral:rRNA from 1 species
GACGAACGCUGGCGGCGUGCCUAAUACAUGCAAGUAGAACGCUGAAGAGAGGAGCUUGCUCUUCUUGGAUGAGUUGCGAACGGGUGAGUAACGCGUAGGUAACCUGCCUUGUAGCGGGGGAUAACUAUUGGAAACGAUAGCUAAUACCGCAUAACAAUGGAUGACCCAUGCCAUUUAUUUGAAAGGGGCAAAUGCUCCACUACAAGAUGGACCUGCGUUGUAUUAGCUAGUAGGUGAGGUAACGGCUCACCUAGGCGACGAUACAUAGCCGACCUGAGAGGGUGAUCGGCCACACUGGGACUGAGACACGGCCCAGACUCCUACGGGAGGCAGCAGUAGGGAAUCUUCGGCAAUGGGGGCAACCCUGACCGAGCAACGCCGCGUGAGUGAAGAAGGUUUUCGGAUCGUAAAGCUCUGUUGUAAGUCAAGAACGAGUGUGAGAGUGGAAAGUUCACACUGUGACGGUAGCUGACCAGAAAGGGACGGCUAACUACGUG